rnacentral:rRNA from 1 species
AAAUUGAAGAGUUUGAUCAUGGCUCAGAUUGAACGCUGGCGGCAGGCCUAACACAUGCAAGUCGAACGGUAACAGGAAGCAGCUUGCUGCUUCGCUGACGAGUGGCGGACGGGUGAGUAAUGUCUGGGAAACUGCCUGAUGGAGGGGGAUAACUACUGGAAACGGUAGCUAAUACCGCAUAAUGUCGCAAGACCAAAGAGGGGGACCUUCGGGCCUCUUGCCAUCGGAUGUGCCCAGAUGGGAUUAGCUUGUUGGUGGGGUAACGGCUCACCAAGGCGACGAUCCCUAGCUGGUCUGAGAGGAUGACCAGCCACACUGGAACUGAGACACGGUCCAGACUCCUACGGGAGGCAGCAGUGGGGAAUAUUGCACAAUGGGCGCAAGCCUGAUGCAGCCAUGCCGCGUGUAUGAAGAAGGCCUUCGGGUUGUAAAGUACUUUCAGCGGGGAGGAAGGGAGUAAAGUUAAUACCUUUGCUCAUUGACGUUACCCGCAGAAGAAGCACCGGCUAACUCCGUGCCAGCAGCCGCGG